rnacentral:misc_RNA from 1 species
GUUCUCUUCUACAAGCACAAACAGAUAUUGUAAAAAAACUUGUGGGUGUAAACAUGGCACAGAUACCGGCUCCGGUUGUAGCUACUCCACAGCAAAAUUCAGUUGCAGGCACAUCACGUCAAAGCAUCUCGCCAUCACCAGCACAACAUCUUCAAAUGCUGGAUAAGAAAGACGAUGAAAUGAGAGGGUCAGAAGUCAACAAGAG